CAGCCACCGCGAUAAAACACAGGAUGGAAACUGCUUGCCCUUUGGGCAUGGUCCAAACACAGGGAAUAUUUGGCUUUAUUUCUACAGCAUGUGCUGCUGCUGCUAUUUGUGUAGCUGGCUGCCUGAAAAGAGAGGGCACAACGUAGCUUGUGGGGCUCUGCUGAGCAGUAUCCUGGUCUUUCAGGAGGAAUUUGGCUCAUUCUGUCCCUGCUAGGGAUCUUCUGCGUGAAGAUUGUUCAGUAUUGCCUUCAAAUCAGGCAGUACCUGCCAGGGCUAUCCCCUGGAAUUUCUUACUGCCAAAUCCGCCAACAGAAGAGGCAUAUUCACAUCAGUAGAAAAAGAAAAUCAGGAGAAUUAAACCAAGAAAUACAGACUGAAACGCGUUACAAGCCUUCCCCAAGCAGUUUUCAGACUGAACACAGAACACGUUACCAGCGCCGUUUCUCACUCCAUGUUCACGGUGCCUUUCUGUCCCCUGGUGAUGAGCCAAGGCACAGGAAAUCCAGCUAGCUGCUGUGUCCCACACGGUCCCUCCCCAGAUCAUUCCUCCCAGGCAGACUGGGAAUCACCUUGAUGCUGGGAUUGUUACUGUUUUCCUUGUGGUUGGGGCCUUUUAUACCCUUUCAUUGCUAGUUCUGUUCAACUGCGAAAAUGGUAAGACUCAAGCAAUUGUACUGUUACUCUUUUUUUGGACUGCUCUCUUGCUCCUGGGCUGUUCCUCAUUUAUUUCUUUGGACUAUAUCCAACAUUCAA